rnacentral:rRNA from 1 species
AGCGGCGGACGGGUGAGUAACGCGUGGGUAACCUGCCUCAUACAGGGGGAUAACAGUUGGAAACGGCUGCUAAUACCGCAUAAGCGCACAGUACCGCAUGGUACGGUGUGAAAGACUCCGGUGGUAUGAGAUGGACCCGCGUCUGAUUAGGUAGUUGGUGGGGUAACGGCCUACCAAGCCGACGAUCAGUAGCCGACCUGAGAGGGUGACCGGCCACAUUGGGACUGAGACACGGCCCAA